GAAGCUCCUCUUUUCAUGGAUAAUCGCGCUUCGAGUUGAAACCAAAUCAUAGCAUGUGAGGAUAAUGAAAGAGACGAAAACGAUCCCCUGCCGGGGCUGAGAGACGAAAGAAGAGGAAGAAGAAGACGGAUGGGGAGUAAAGUUGAUUAGAAGUGAUAUUGAUGGAGAUGGAAGGGAGGCGAGUGAGAAGGUUUGGGAGGGGACGCACUCGAUCUCAGGCUCGCUCUCUCCUGCCCCUACGCACUGCCGCAAUCACUAGCACCGCCAACCUCUCCAAUACCAUUUCCUGUUGGUUCUGCGACUAUAAAAUCUCUGCUCUGAAUGAACCUCUUUUCCGUUUUGGACGAAGGCAUGCCAGAAGUUUGAGGGUAUGGUUUUCCAUUGGAAUUGGUUUUAGCCUAACCGCACUGCUUGGCGUUACUGUGAUUCUCCUUUGGGAAUUAGGCAGAGCCCUGCAUCUUUUCCGCCAAAAAACAGAGCUGGGCAAUCUUUCUACUGCGUUACUGUUUGGGUUUUCCCCCUCCUCGGUCUCUGGUUUGAGCAUGUCGCUUGCCGAUGCUGGGUAUUUACUUAUUUCUACCUUGAUUUCUGUAUCCGUGCAUGAACUCGGGCAUGCCCUUGCUGCUGCUUGUGAAGGCAUACGGAUGGAGUACAUUUCCUUUUUUCUUGCAGUUCUAUUUCCUGGUGCUCUGGUGGCUUUCAACUACGAGUUGCUGCAAGCAUUACCACAGUUUACUGCCCUUCGUGUAUACUGUGCUGGUAUUUGGCACAAUGCAGUGUGUUGUGCAGGUUGUGGAUUGGUGCUAUUCCUCCUGCCUCUGAUCUUGUUUCCCUUCUACAUACAUAGUGAAAGCCCCAUGGUUUUGGAUGUAUCUUCUACAUCGCCUUUGUCCAAAUAUUUGUCUCCUGGGGAUUUAAUUAUGUCAUUGGAUGGUGUUCAUAUCCAUAAUGCAGAAGAGUGGAUGGAAAUGACAGCUCUGAUAGAUAAUGUGACACGUCAAAUUACAGAUCAUACCGAAUACGUUGAAGGAUUUGGGACGGUCAAUGGCAGAAAGGGGUAUUGUGUACCCGAUUUUAUGAUAGAAGAUGGCCAGAAGAUUCAAUCAGUAGACAACCACUCUGCUUGUUCUAAUGAUCUUACUGCAUUUGUAACCAUUCCCUGUCUUGAUAUGAGAGUGUCGGAUGGUGGUAACAGCAAAAAUGGUCAUCCAAAGAGAAGACAGAGUACCCACUGCAUGAAUGCUGAGGACAUUGUCAAGCUUAAUAAAUGUGGUGAUGGAUGGGCGACAAUAACUAAUGGAAGCAGCUGCACAUGUUCACUGGAUGAGUCUUGCUUAAGCCCACUUCAGAUGUCGGGUUUGAGCUGGGUGGAGAUCUCAUACUUGGGAUAUUUUUCUCCAGAGUGCUUGCAACUUGGACGAAAUUCAUUUUUAGUAUCCAAGACUUCUGACCUUAUAAAAUCCAAGUGUGUUGGGACUUUUGUUUUUAUCGGUGAUGUGAUAUCCAUGGCACAUUCGGUUCGUUUAACUGCUUAUCAACCUCGUUGGGCAUUUCAUUUUGGUGCAUAUCUUCCAAAUGUGCUGGAAAGGAUUCUGAUGUGCACAUUCCACGUCUCUCUCACACUAGCUCUUCUCAAUAGCUUGCCAGUCUACUUUCUGGACGGAGAAUCUCUUCUAGAGGUGACCCUUUGUCAUUUCACUUUGCUGAGCUCAAGCAAGAGGGAAAAGGUUCUUCAAGUAUGUCUUUUGGGAGGGACGCUCAUUUCCAUCCUUGUCUUUGUGAGAAUCUUCUACAAUCUUUUCUAUGUGUAAGAUAUCACUUGACCAACAUUUGGCUUCCAUAUUGAUCUCAGCAUGUUGUUGAAGAUGAACUUUUAGAGUCUGUCUGAUUGGGCCACUCGCGGAAUAGUAUGGCGCUCUGGAGUUGCUUAAAUUAAGGAACCGAUUGAACAAAUUUUACUGUUGUGUCUUCUCGUGCAAUGCAUCGGGCAAGGUUUUUGAUUUUUCUUUUUCUUUUUCUCGGGCGGUGGGUCUUCUGACUUCUGAGGAUUAGACCGUUCCCUCUCUCUCUCUGUCUCUGUCUCUGUCUCUCUCUCACUGCCCCCGCGUUGGCGGCUAGAAAAUGCAGGCCUGUUUGGUUGUUGAUUUGAAAACAGGUGUUUUGUUUUCAAAACAGCCAAACAUGUUUUGCCACUGUAAUAUGCUACUUGUUUUAAAAACAAAAAUAUGGAAAACAAAAACAGGAAGAAACACAAAAAGAACCUGUUUCCGUGUUUUAUUUUAUUUUAUUUUUUAAUAUCAAAAGUGAUGAAAACAUGCUGCGAGUGUUUUAA